rnacentral:rRNA from 1 species
UGGUGCCAGCAGCCGCGGUAAUUCCAGCUUCAAUAGCGUAUAUUAAAGUUGUUGCAGUUAAAAAGCUCGUAGUUGGAUUUCUGUUAAUACCUUAUAUAUAAUAUUUUUUUUUAAAUAUUAUUAUGUAAGAUUAACAUAAUUCAUAUUUUUUAAGACUGAAUUUUUAGUUUUGAUAAUAUGAAAUUUUACUUUGAGAAAAUUAGAGUGCUUAAAGCAGGCUUUUGCCUUGAAUACUCCAGCAUGGAAUAAUAAUAAAAGAUUUUUAUCUUUUUUUUAUUGGUUCUAAGAUAAAAAUAAUGAUUAAUAGGGACAGUUGGGGGCAUUUGUAUUUAACAGUCAGAGGUGAUAUUCUUAGAUUUGUUAAAGACAAACUAAUGCGAAAGCAUUUGCCAAGGAUGUUUUCAUUAAUCAAGAACGAAAGUUAGGGGAUCGAAGACGAUCAGAUACCGUCGUAGUCUUAACCAUAAACUAUGCCAACUA